GAGUUUGAUCCUGGCUCAGAUUGAACGCUGGCGGCAUGCCUAAUACAUGCAAGUCGAACGGAAACGAUGGGAGCUUGCUCUCAGGCGUCGAGUGGCGGACGGGUGAGUAAUACUUAGGAAUCUGCCCAUUAGUGGGGGACAACAUUCGGAAACGGAUGCUAAUACCGCAUACGCCCUACGGGGGAAAGCGGGGGAUCUUCGGACCUCGCGAUAAUGGAUGAGCCUAAGUCGGAUUAGCUUGUUGGUGAGGUAAAAGCUCACCAAGGCGACGAUCCGUAGCUGGUUUGAGAGGACGAUCAGCCACACUGGGACUGAGACACGGCCCAGACUCCUACGGGAGGCAGCAGUAGGGAAUAUUGGACAAUGGGCGCAAGCCUGAUCCAGCAAUGCCGCGUGUGUGAAGAAGGCCUGCGGGUUGUAAAGCACUUUCAGUAGAGAAGAAAAGCCUAGGGUUAAUAACCCUGAGUCUUGACGUUACCUACAGAAGAAGCUCCGGCUAACUCCGUGC
rnacentral:rRNA from 1 species